rnacentral:rRNA from 1 species
AAGUUGUUGCGGUUAAAAGCUCGUAGUUCGAGCUCAGUUCCGGACUGGCCGGGGAGGUCACCGCCCGGUGCUUCCCCGUCAGGCUCCGAACAGCCUUCGUGAGCGGAGGCCAAGCCGGUUCUGCCGGGGUGCUCUUUACCGAGUGUCCCGCGCGGCCGGCCAGUUCACCUUGAAUAAAUGAGAGUGCUCAAAGCAGGCUACUCUCGAAUACAAUGCCCGAAUGUUACCUGCAUGGAAUGAUGGAAGAUGAUCUCGGUUCCAUUUUAUUGGUGGUGGGAGCCCGAGGUAAUGAUAAACAGGGACUGUCGGGGGCAUCCGUACUACGACGCGAGAGGUGAAAUUCAGUGACCGUCGUAGGACGAACAACAGCGAAAGCAUUUGCCAAGAAUGUCUUCGUUGAUCAAGAACGAAAGUUAGAGGAUCGAAGGCGAUCAGAUACCGCCCUAGUUCUAACCCUAAACGAUGCUGACUAGCAAUUCGCCGUCGUUAUUCCCAUGACGUGGCGAGACGCCCCCGGGAAACCUCAAGUCUUUGAGUUCCGGGGGUAGUAUGGUUGCAAAACUGAAACUUAAAGGAAUUGACGGAAGGGCACCACCAGGAGUGGAGCCUGCGGCUUAAUUUGACUCAACACGGGAAACCUCACCAGGCCCGGACACCAGAAGGAUUGACAGAUUAAGAGCUCUUUCUCGAUUUGGUGGGUGGUGGUGCAUGGCCGUCCUUAGUUGGUGGAGUGAUUUGUCUGGUUAAUUCCGGUAACGAACGAGACUCUGGCCUACUAAAUAGUCGACGGGCGUUUUGGUGCAUGGGCCCCGUUCGACACAGUCUUCUUAGAGGGAUGAGCAGCGAGUAUAGCUGCAGGAGAUUGAGCAAUAACAGGUCUGUGAUGCCCUUAGAUGUCCUGGGCCGCACGCGCGCUACACUGAAUGGGUUAGCGGGUUGUCCUUCUCCGAGAGGAGCGGGAAAUCGCUUGAAAACCAUUCGUGAUAGGGAUUGGGGCUUGCAAUUGUUUCCCAUGAACGAGGAAUUCCCAGUAAGCGCAAGUCAUCAGCUUGCGUUGAUUAAGUCCCUGCCCUUUGUACACACCGCCCGUCGCUACUACCGAUUGAAUGAUUUAGUGAGGCCUUCGGACUGGCGGUCUUGGACUGGGGCGCCGGCGUUCCAGCAAUGGGCGCCGGCGACCCGCCUAGACAGGCCGGAAAGAUGUCCAAACUUGAUCAUUUAGAGGAAGUAAAAGUCGUAACAAGGUUUCCGUAGGUGAACCUGCGGAAAGG